UACAGAGGGUGCGAGCGUUAAUCGGAAUUACUGGGCGUAAAGCGUGCGUAGACGGUUACAUAAGUCGGGUGUGAAAGCCCCGGGCUUAACCUGGGAAUGGCAUUUGGGACUGCAAGGCUUGAGUGCGGCAGAGGAGACUGGAAUUCCUGGUGUAGCAGUGAAAUGCGUAGAUAUCAGGAGGAAUACCGAUGGCGAAGGCAGGUCUCUGGGCUGACACUGACGCUCAUGCACGAAAGCGUGGGGAGCAAACAGG
rnacentral:rRNA from 1 species